AGGUUAUGUAAAAGAAACAUCUUGGAACAGCUACCAGCCACAGCUGGGAACUUAAGCUCCAACCUCAGGAGGGAGCAGAACAAGGUUAAUUCCAAUGGGAAUACAAAAGUUCAAACACAAGAUGAAAAUAGGGUAGGAGCUCGAUUUGCACAACACCUUUAAGACCCAGGGACUGCUUUUCUGGCUACACAUAUGCAUCCUUUGAUCCUCUGUUUCUUUGAGUUUUGGUGUUGCAAUUGUUUUAUUUGAUUUUGGUUAAACAGAAAAUGCUCUGAGAAGUGACAGGGUACCAACGGGCUGGGGGACAGCAGCACUAGCCUCUCAGUCUCACUCCAGAGAAGAGCAAGGAAGGGGGACAAGACAGUGGGAAAUAAUGAACAAAGCAGCUUGGACUCUGGAGCCCAAAAGUCAGCUGAGGGGCCAUGGGAACUGGUCGGACCUGCCAAUCACCUAAAGCAUUAGCCUGUGAAAAGACUGUGCCCACCCAGCCCAGGCCUCUGGAUUGCACAGGACAAGCCCCUGUCCCAAAAUACAGCACAGAAACAAACUGUGAGCAUACCUCAGCUUUACUGCUGAGCAUAUAAACCACUUUAGAGAAAAACAGUGGUAUUUUGUAUAAGAAAUUGGCAAGACCCACGGUGUUGACAAUGUGCUGAGAGUUCAUGUUUGACCUCACCAACUCUCAACCUAUUUGAGUUUCCAGCCCCUCUGAAGCUUGAUGACUACACAUCAGUAAGACUUCUGAUUAUGGAAACAUUUUCUCUACUGUGUCCUCCAACUGUCACUUGAACUGACUGGUAAAAUUUUAGCAGACAAUAGUGAGACUGUCAACGAAAACAGUAACUCUUUUAGUGAUUCCAGAGAGAUCUCUGGAUUUACUUGGAUGUCAAGAGUUCAGGCAUGGUGGAGGGGUACUGAGGAAGAAUGGCAACAAUUCGAGCAAGACAUAUUAUCGGAAAGAAAUUGUCCUUUCUGGAAGAAAAGAAGUAUCUCUGGGUUACCAAGCAACGGCUUCAGGCAAAUCACCUCAGAUCUGCUCUCCAUUCCCCCAGGGUUGUGGGGGUCCGAAGCACAAGCAGAUGUCUGGAGGGAGCUAUUACUCACAUCCUCCCCUUCUUAAUUUCCCCUUCUUAAUUUCGCUCGGUGGCAGUAGCAGCAGUCACAGACCAAUCUCUAUCACUUCAGGAAAGAAGGGGGCAGAAACAGAUGCGUAGAGCAGCUUCUGAAGAUCAGCAGGCCUGUGCAGCAUCAUCUGAGGGUCCCCAGAAUUAAAGCAACAUGAAACCCUUCAUACUGAGUGUGGCCACUUCCCACUGACCAUGACUCACAAAUGGUUUCCAAUUUUAGAAGCUGCCCUGUCCUCAUAAAAGAAUUACCAGGAAGGUAGGAGGUUUGUUUGUUUGCUUUUCUGUGCAUCUAAGUACCCUGACAAUCUAAUCUCUGGAGAGUCUCAGUAACCAGGCAACACAAGUCAUGCUCCAAUUGUGCGGUCCUCAAUCCACUUUUCCUGUGCUAUUCCAGUUCAAAGUAAGAAUACCAAAGCCAGAACUGCAGAAGAUAAAUGUGGAUCUUUAUUACUACAAGCAGAUAACGGGGUCUGCCCCCUCUUCUUAUUGCUGAGUAGAAAUUCUGAGGCAAGUGCUUUUAAAAAGACUAGAACAGCACAUUUUACCUAAGAAUAAGAUUAUAGCUAGUAACCUGUUUUUCUUACAAAAAAAGAAAAUGGAAGGAGAUAGCUUUUGUCUGGUGACAGUUUAUUUUAACCCAGAUGCUUCCUCCACUUGUAAUUUGGCCUCAUUUGUGUUUUCAGAAACAUCACCAAUUCAGACGGGUUUCUUGGGUAAGGACUUAAUGGACAAGGUUAAACACAGCUGUUCUGGUGCCUGAAAUCCUUAAGAGUCUAGCAGGACCGGAGCAAGUAAAAUAAACUCAGAAAGAGCUGUCUGGAUCAGUGUUUCUAGAGACAAAAUGAGUAUAAAUGAGCAUGGAGUCAACAGGCCUCCUGGGUCAAGGUCAGAGGCAACCUGGGGACACGGAUUAACAGCGGAAGAACACUGCCUAUAGUACAUUUGCUAUGAGACAGCACAGAAUUGGACAUUCUGGCCUUUAAUCAUCAGGCUAUCACAAGGAAAAGUGGUCCAGAUUUAGUACUGUGUCAGCACUUUUUAUAAUAAAUGCUUCAUUUACUAGGAAUUUAGCUAUCGAGUUGCAGAUGAUAAAAAUGACACUCAAAUGCAAGGUCAAACAGCAAACAUUUAUAAUUCCUGUCUAUUAGCUAAAUACACAGUCCUAAUUAUCCAGGUGAAAGGGGUAAUUGUUUUCCCAAACAGUGCCUCAAUCUCCAGUGAUUUACAAAGCACUUUUACACACAUCAUCUCGUCACAGUGGUGUGUAUGCCCUUGUUACACAGAUGGAUUGAACUGGAAAUUGUUUCAUUUGCCAGUUUUAAGUAUCUUCCUUUUCCCUGUGGGUGGUUUCUGUAAGGCCUGAUGGACAUAUUAUCAUCUGGAUCUUCCAGGCAAUGACACCUCUAAAGAGGCCGAUGAACUAGAACUAUCAGUUCUAACACCUUAGGCAAGAAUCCCUCAAUCUCUCUGGGUUUCAGCUUCUUCAUGUGUAUACUGUAGAUAUGUUGUCAAAAUUGUGCUAAUCUUCACCAACUAAUAAGAAAUGAUAAGAAUGAGAUUUUGUGGAUAUGGGACUUUAAUAUACAGUGAGAGGAAUAUAAAUCAGCAUGACUUUUUGCUGGUGUUAUGUAAUAAAAUGUAAAACGUACAUACCAUUUCAUGCAGAAAAUUUAUAUCCAAGAAUCUAUCCCAAUGAGGUAGUUACAUAAAUAUGCAAGUAUACACAAGAUGUUCAUCACAAUUAGAAACAACCAAAAUGUCCACCAACAUGAGACUAGUUCAAAAAGAUACGAGGUAUUCAUACAAGAGACUUUAUGCAUCCACUGAAAAGAAUCAUGUAAUUCAUAUUGGUUGACUCAAAUAGAAGCUCCAUCACAUAUUUUCAAGACAAAAGGAAUUACAAAGCAGUAUGGUUGAUAUAAUCCCAUUUAUGUGCAAAUCAAAUAAAUUCCAGAUUUCACUGUGGUUCAAUUCAGCCCAGUGUCACAUUCACAGAAACAACCCAGCAACAAAAAGGCAUUACAGAGUAAUUUCAGCCUUGGCUCUCCAUUUUCAGAAAACAUUAAAGAACCUACAAUUCCUAACCCACAGCACCACAUCUUAAAAUAGUCUCUGUAUCCCACCUUUUUCAUCUUGUUCUCUAAUUCUCACACUGUAAUAGCUCCUGAAGGCUUUCUCCUCCCCAAUAUGCUUUUCUACUCUCAACCAAAGACAUCACAAUGAUACUCAAACAGAUCAGCCACUUCUCUUUUGUCCCUCUUCCUUCUUCCUUUGUUUUUUUUCUUCACUGAUUACCAUACUCCGAAAAAUAAGGUGGAGAAAGAAGAAAAUGCUAAGUGGACAAAAUUUCCUUUCCAGAGAGUAGGAGAAAAAGAGAUUGACUAUGCAUAUACUACAAUGUCUUAACCUUGUAGCAAGCGCAAAAUUAUUUAAGUGAUAUCUACUGCAUAUAUGCCUAGAAGUGUCUGCAAGGAUGUUGACAAAAUUCUUAAGAAUAAUUAUCUCAGUUGGGAUUUCCCUGUGAACUUUGCUUUUAAUUUUAUAUCUCUCCUUAUACCUCUUUGAGUAACUCAUGAUGAACAUGUUUUGUUUGUGAUCAAAACCACGAAAUAAACUCAUGUCAACAUGUAAAAAAAGAGGUUGUAAUGAUGCUCACAAGAAACAAUAGACAUGAAAAAAUACACAAUUUAAGUACAAAGUAUAAGCAUUUUAAAUAAAUACGAUUGGACUGUCUCUUCCAGUUUCCAACAUUAAUAAGCUCCAUUAUUUUGGAAUUAUUUUAAUUACUCCUACAUGUUAGAGUUGGUUAAUUUCUGAACAACAGUCAGAUACUCCCCUGUGUUGCUUAAUUUGUUGUUUUAUUAUCAGUCAGCCCUGUUUAAUUUGUGAGUCCACUGGGUUAUGACUUGUACAGCAU
rnacentral:lncRNA from 10 species